rnacentral:RNase_P_RNA from 1 species
CGAGCAAGCCGGAUGGUCGCGGGAGCUCGCUCCCGAGGAAAGUCCGGGCUCCACAGGGCAGGGUGCUGGGUAACGCCCAGCGGGGGCGACCCCAGGGAAAGUGCCACAGAAAUGAUACCGCCGGCCGAGGCCGGUAAGGGUGAAAUGGUGGUGUAAGAGACCACCGGCGGCCGGGUGACCGGCCGGCCAGGUAAACCCCACCCGGAGCAAGACCAAAUAGGAGAGGGAUGACGCUGCCCGCUGAACCUCUCGGGUAAGGUCGCUUGAGGUGCCGGGUAACCGGCAUCCGAGACAGAUGAUCAUCCUCGACAGGACCCGGCUUACAGGCUUGCUCGCCUU